UUAUAGUCAAUGAAAAGGAUAAGUACCUUAAGAAAUACUUUGUAGCGAGUAAGGGAUGGUGUAAGCCUUAUAAUGUAUUCUUUAGGGAAUAGAACCUUUGAGAUUCUACCGGAAUUUAGUAUGGUUUGACCUUUGCCUUAGGUUACAAAGGCUAAAGUGAGUACUUUUGUACUAACUAGAGUGGUACCGCGGAUAUUCUCCGUCUCUUGA
rnacentral:ncRNA from 1 species